CCUUUGUAGCGGACGCCCCUAGACUCACCCACCCGAUCCUGGCCGCACCCUGCUCUGCACCCGCACCCGCACCCCACCCCCGGACCUCACCCUGCCCUGCCGCGCGCUCAAUAGCCAGAUGCUGGGCCCAGACAAGCGCUCUUCCGCGAGCGUGCCGGGAUGAGCGGGGGCUGGACUUCUAGAAAGGGGUCUGCGGGCGCAGGAGCUGGGGUCGGCGGUCUGGGGCCGGCUGAUCACGAGCUCCUCUUAGGAACCAGUGAACCUCAGGGGGCCAUUGCACAUCCAGGUGUGAAACUGCGGUGUGGCCUCCAUCCAACACAAGCCAUCAGCCCCAUGCUCAGCUCCCAGCAGGCAGAGGGUUCAGAAGCGCCAGUGCCAUCAGCUUGGGAGCCUGCAGUCCACACACCGCUGACCUUACCUACUUCCUCUUUCCAAGUGGUAGAUUACAGACUCUCCUCUGGGAAAUUGCCCCCAGAUCUAACAGCAGUACAAGAAGCUGGGUAGAUUGGAAAACAGCAUCGAAUUCCCCUGAAACUGAGGACGGAAGCCUUCCCAGUCCUGCAGCCACCUGCAGACUCUCACAAGCACUGUGUUCCCGGGAGAAGACCUUGCUACCCCAGGCCCAGCAGAGUCGAGAGAAAACAGGAAGCCCUGAAGAUUUUUCACCCCAGGGGAAGGCAGCCAGAGGAGGGCACAAUGUGGAAGAACUCAACUUUUUAAAGACAGAGAUCAACUUUCAAUAUUGCUAAGAAAGAA
rnacentral:antisense_RNA from 1 species